UACAGGAACCCCAGGCCUGAAAGCUCGACCAGGAGGGACUUGAGCUUGGAUUCAACAGAGAUAAUUGAUGUGCACGCAUUGCUGAUAGUACUGGGGGCAGUGUCAUGAGGAGUAAGGGGUUUUGUUGUGCUUGCACUGUGGAUAGUGUUGGAACUGUACCCUGAAUAUUAAAGCAACCUUGUGUGCUUUACUGGAGGAUUGAGUCGCUGUGGAUGCCUGACCCAUCUCUGUGAGUCCCUGGCAGAUUCGUUUGCAUCAUCCUCUUAUACAACAGCUGCAGGAGAAUAGAAAUGAUGUACUGUGUAUUGUGAAAGAAAAGAUUGUGACCACACAGAAGUGUAUUAUUACAGAGCACACGCAAACAGAGGAAACUUUCAAAGGAAAAGUCGGCAUGAAAGCAAAAACCAUAAAGAGAGAAAAAUGAAGAACAAAACAAAAUUUAAUAAUAAUACUGAUUCGGAAGACUCUACUUAUCGAGAUCCAGCCCAGAAACUCUUCUAUAUAGUCAUAUUUCUAUUUGUAUUCGCGGUUAUAAUAUCUUGCUGGGGACAAUGGGCACAACAUCAGAAGAUGAUUGAAACGGAAAAGAGGAUAAAGCUCCUUGACCUCCAAAUGAGAGAGACGGAGGAAAAAAUUAGAACAGCUGAGGCAAAGAUGGCAGAAAUUGCGAACAGAAUGGCCGAAUACCAGUUAGAGAUCCAAGAAACCAGCAACACAGUGGCCAAAAUUAAUGAAAAACUGAAGGAUGCACAAGAACCAACUUGGCCAUUGACUUCGUUAUCUGAGAUUCUCUGUUAUUACUUCUGCUCAGAGUAACACAUAUAUGGAUGAAGGCAUUAUUCUAAAGAAAAAGUAAAAAGUUGGACUUUCCAGCGACCAAGUCCUACAUUAAUGAUGAUACCACCAUGGAAAGUGGCCAAAAUGAGAAAGUUGUGAAUGUAACAUUACUCCAUGAUAAAGACUGGCUAAGACCUACCCGUCAUCAGGACUGUC